rnacentral:rRNA from 1 species
AUGAACGCUAGCGGGAGGCCUAACACAUGCAAGCCGAGCGGUAGAAAGUAGCUUGCUACUUUUGAGAGCGGCGUACGGGUGCGUAACACGUGUGCAACCUGCCUUUAUCUGGAGAAUAGCCUUUCGAAAGGAAGAUUAAUGCUCCAUAACAUAUUGAAUGGCAUCAUUUAAUAUUGAAAGCUCCGGCGGAUAGAGAUGGGCACGCGCAAGAUUAGUUAGUUGGUGAGGUAACGGCUCACCAAGGCGAUGAUCUUUAGGGGGCCUGGGAGGGGGGUCCCCCACACUGGUACUGAGACACGGACCAGACGCCUACGGGAGGCAGCAGUGAGGAAUAUUGGACAAUGGGUGAAAGCCUGAUCCAGCCAUCCCGCGUGAAGGAUGACGGCCCUAUGGGUUGUAAACUUCUUUUGUAUAGGGAUAAACCUACCCUCGUGAGGGUAGCUGAAGGUACUAUACGAAUAAGCACCGGCUAACUCCGUGCCAGCAGCCGCCGUAA